GGCGGACGGCUGAGUAACGCGUAGGAACAUACCCCAAAGUGAGGGAUAAGCACCAGAAAUGGUGUCUAAUACCGCAUGUGGUCUAAGGAUUAAAGCUUCGGCGCUUUGGGAAUGGCCUGCGUAUGAUUAGUUUGUUGGUGAGGUAAUGGCUCACCAAGACUACGAUCAUUAGCUGGUCUGAGAGGAUGAUCAGCCAGACUGGGACUGAGAACGGCCCAGACUCCUACGGGAGGCAGCAGUAGGGAAUUUUCCACAAUGGACGAAAGUCUGAUGGAGCAACGCCGCGUGCAGGAUGAAUGCCUUCGGGUUGUAAACUGCUUUUAUAUGUGACGAUUAUGACGGUAGCAUAUGAAUAAGGAUCGGCUAAUUCCGUGCCAGCAGCCGCGGUCAUACGGAAGAUCCAAGCGUUAUCCGGAAUUACUGGGCGUAAAGAGUUGCGUAGGUGGCAUAGUAAGUAGGUAGUGAAAUCCUGGGGCUCAACCCUUUAAACAUUAUUUAAACUGCUAAGCUAGAGGGCGAGAGAGGUAGCUAGAAUUCCUAGUGUAGGAGUGAAAUCCGUAGAUAUUAGGAGGAAUACCGAUGGCGUAGGCAGGCUACUGGCUCGUCCCUGACACUAAGGCACGAAAGCGUGGGGAGCGACCGGGAUUAGAUACCCCGUUAGUCC
rnacentral:rRNA from 1 species